AGAAUUUUCAGCAGCAGAAAAGUUGGUUUUUCCCUGAUUUAUCCUUUUUCAAUACCUUUUUCACCUUAUUGCGCUAAACAUGACAGCAGUAAAACACGCCAUCCGCACGAAAACUGUCGAUUAUGAGGCCUAAUUAGUUGUUUACUCGACAAUUCUGUGAAUUACAUUUACAAAGCUCUCGAUUAUUUUUUUUGCAACAAUUACGGGAUGGGCUGUAUCCACAGCAAGGCAGAUGUUGUUGGACACAGUGAUACAAGUCCCAACAUUUUCCGUGUCAUCAAUAUCGAUGAAGACAGUCAAGAGUUGUGGUCUGGUCAAUUGGAAAUAACUGUAACA